GAUGAACGCUGGCGGCGUGCCUAAUACAUGCAAGUCGAGCGAACAGACGAGGAGCUUGCUCCUCUGACGUUAGCGGCGGACGGGUGAGUAACACGUGGAUAACCUACCUAUAAGACUGGGAUAACUUCGGGAAACCGGAGCUAAUACCGGAUAAUAUAUUGAACCGCAUGGUUCAAUAGUGAAAGACGGUUUUGCUGUCACUUAUAGAUGGAUCCGCGCCGCAUUAGCUAGUUGGUAAGGUAACGGCUUACCAAGGCAACGAUGCGUAGCCGACCUGAGAGGGUGAACGGCCACACUGGAAAUGGGACAAGGUCCAGACUCCUAAGGGAGGCAGCAGUAGGGGAUCUUCCGGAAUGGGCGGAAGCCUGACGGAGCAAAGCCGCGUGAGUGAUGAAGGUCUUCGGAUCGUAAAACUCUGUUAUUAGGGAAGAACAAAUGUGUAAGUAACUAUGCACGUCUUGACGGUACCUAAUCAGAAAGCCACGGCUAACUACGUG
rnacentral:rRNA from 1 species